rnacentral:tRNA from 1 species
GGAGAGGUGGCAGAGCGGUUGAAUGCACUGGUCUUGAAAACCAGCAAGGGUUUAUAGCCCUUCGUGGGUUCAAAUCCCACCCUCUCCGCCA